GUCCCCUACUGGCGAAAGUGAGGCAUGACAGCAAAGAUGGCGGCGCCUAGGAACAACGUGGAUGAAAUUCGUGAUAGGGUAAUACUGGGUGAAUUUGGCGUAAAAAAUGUCCAUUCUACAGAUUAUCCUGGAAAUUACCCCGGUUACGAUGACACUUGGGACUUUGAAAAAUUCAAAAAGAAUUUCAGGAUUGAUAUUGUUCAUUCUGACGAGAACACUUUGGAGUUUGAUAUGGUUGGAAUAGACGCUGCCAUCGCAAAUGCUUUUCGCCGUAUAUUACUUGCCGAGGUACCAACAAUGGCAAUUGAAAAAGUGUUCAUUUACAACAACACGUCCAUAAUUCAGGAUGAGAUCCUAGCCCAUAGACUUGGUCUUGUGCCCAUUAAAGCAGAUCCUCGUCUUUUUGAGUACCGGAGUGCGGAGGAUGAGGAAGGCACAGAAAUUGACACAAUCCAGCUUCAGCUAAAGGUCAAAUGCACCAGGAAUCCUCGAGCCCCUAAAGACUCUUCAGAUCCCAAGGAAUUAUAUCUCAUUCAUAUGGUCUACUCUGGUGACAUAAAAUGGGUCCCAGUUGGAAACCAGGCUGAUGUGUUCGCAGAUGCCAAGAUUUGUCCUGUGCAUGAGGACAUUUUGCUUGCACAGCUCCGCCCAGGGCAGGAACUUGAUAUAGUCAUGCACUGUGUCAAAGGAAUAGGCAAGGAUCAUGCAAAGUUUUCUCCAGUGGCCACUGCAAGUUACAGACUUCUUCCUGAAAUCACAUUAUUACAGACCAUUGAGGGAGAAAAGGCUGAGAGGAAAGCAAGUGGCAAAGGUGGUUAACAGUCGUUUGGACACAUGCAGCAGAGAAGUACUUCGGCACGAUGACUUAAAGAACUUGGUGAAACUUGGCAGAGUUCGGGAUCAUUUCAUAUGUGUGUUCACAGCAAAGGUCUCAGUUGAGUCUACAGGAAUCCUCCCUCCUGAUGUCCUGGUUAGUGAGGCCAUUAAUGUGCUCAUCGCUAAGUGCCAGAAAUUUCUAGCAGAGCUUGAUGCAACAGAAAUGGACUAGAUGGAGUGUGACUGGCCUUAUUUCCCUCUACUUACUUCCUGGAAUGAACAGGAUCCUAUAUCUUUGGAGUUAAAUUGUCAUUGGCUGCCUGAAAUUGUACACAUCUUGCAUUCUAAACCUUUGGCUUAAAGAUUCCCUUGAAAAGUGUGAAUUCAUACAAAUUCCUUCACAGCAAGAGUUAAACAAGCUAAACAACAAAAAUGAAGCACGGAAAAGGCAUCAUGUUUAUUCAUCUGCUCGUUUCAAGGCCAAAACCUUAUGACAGUCUUGAAGAUUUCUUCACAUUUAUGUUUAUUUUCCAAACAAACUUGUUCCUGAAUGGAUUCAAGCAGAGUUUCUUAUUUUUAGUUUAAUCUCAGGACUACCUGAGAGGACUUUAUAAUAAAAAAAUAAUGUUGUAAGUCUCAUAUUUGACAUGACAAAGUUUUGACAUUUGUUAAUCCAUACGUAUUAAACUUUUGUUAUUGGCAAAGAGACAAACUUGUCUAUGAAUUCUUGUCAGUGGAUUUUGCAUGAAUACAUAGAUGGAUGCUCUGGCAAGCCCAUUUUACAUCUUUCUUCUUACUCUUGCCUUUACUCCUAGUUACUGUCAACACAUGAACAAUGUCGUUAAAGCAUGUUGGCAUGUUAAAGCAAAAUUAUUUUAAACUUUUCACAUUCGUAAGACAUAAAAGUUUGGAACUAACUGUGAUUGUGAACAAGCCAAGACUAUUCAAAUAUAAGUAAUACUAUAGUUUGGUCUACAUCUCUUUUUUUCGACCAGCUACACAGCUUCAACCAGUAGGAAAUCCAGUUUGUUUUGCCUGCCAACUCUCCUCUCUAUCAAUGAAAUCAAAUGCUGUAUCUUGGAAACUAAUGUUGACAGAAGCAAUCAAUUCAGUCAUCAGAAGUGUACUUAGAUUAAUUAGAUGUAUAACUCUUGAUGCUGUUUACAAAUAGUUG